UACGUAGGGGGCUAGCGUUGUCCGGAUUUAUUGGGCGUAAAGAGCGUGUAGGCGGCCAGGUAGGUCUGCUGUGAAAACUCGAGGCUCAACCUCGAGACGUCGGCGGAAACCAUCUGGCUAGAGUCCGGAAGAGGAGAGUGGAAUUCCUGGUGUAGCGGUGAAAUGCGCAGAUAUCAGGAAGAACACCCGUGGCGAAGGCGGCUCUCUGGGACGGUACUGACGCUGAGGAGCGAAAGCGUGGGGAGCGAACAGG
rnacentral:rRNA from 1 species